GCCAGUAUGGUGGAUAUGAUCCUCGGCUUGUAACCGAGUGGGGCUCGGGUUCGAAUCCCGAAUAAGGCA
rnacentral:tRNA from 1 species